UUUAAUGUAGUGUAAUUUGUGUGCAUUUUACAUUUUGGUUGUGAAGGUGAUUAGUAAUCCAUUAAAU
rnacentral:tRNA from 1 species